CACCUUUUCCCCUCAGUAGUCAGUUCCCACACCCCUCGGCCCUCAAUUAUUUUCCCCAAAUUGCAAAAGAACACAAAGAAAAACCCCAAGACAAGCAAAACAAAAAUGGAAAUUCGCCACUCCCCAUUCUCCUUCUCUUUAUCUAUUUCUUAUGCUGAUGGCACAAAACUACCGUUUUAGAGUGGAAAAAAGUUGUGGUGUGAGAGAGGCACAAAGCUACGGUCUGAGUAAUAACUCCGGGUUAGCACAAAACUACAGGCUGGUAGAGUGAAAGUGCACCAUCAUUGUGACUGGCAAAAGAUGCCUUGAUAAUAAAGUGAAAGGUGUUGACUGUGAGAGGAGAACCAUAAUUUGGAUUUUCAGGUUCAAAGUUUAAGUUCUUACUCUUGAAAGUGAGUUCAAAUUUUAUUGUAUUUCCUGUAAUUUUACUGAUUUUUCACAUAGAUUUAUGUUGUAUAUUGAAAUACUGGUUCAGUCUGGUAACAAGGUUGAUCCCUCCUGCUGACUGCUGAUUGCACUGAUGACCUAUUGUUAAACUAAGUUAUGAGUAGUUUUGUCGUAUUAUGAGAAAUACCAUAAUAGGAGAAGUUGUCACUCUUAUACUUUAAAACAUAUCUUCCCUGGUCAAUAUCAUCAUACAUGUUCUCACUAUAUACCUAUUCUUGCUGAAGAUCAGGUUAUAAGUAACAUUUGGAGGGAAACAUGGGUAGCAGUAAAGAUAUUAUUCUGCCAGCUGUGCUCAAAUCUUUUGGUGAUAUAAUGUAGUCACUCCGUUUUGAUUAGCAGUACGAUUUUGUGCUGAAGUCUAUAUAUACGCAGGAAUAUGUACAUCUAAAAAAGGUGAAAAUUAAGUAUCAUUGACAUGAAAUUAUUUCUCUAGGCCCGAUAAGAAUAGUAUAUCACAAAUUGAACUGACUCUAUAGACCUUUACACCCUCUUUUGAAUGUACUAUAAUGUGUUGUAACCCUUUUUUCUGGUGCCAGCUUAGCUAAUAACGCCUUCAUUGAGAGCAAUCCAACAUGAUCAGCAUGUCAUCUUGCAAUUUUAAUCUUAAAAAUUUCUUUUUUCUGUCACUGAUGGAUGCGUCUACAUGGAUUGGCACAUUAGAUGCAGAUGUAGUAGAAAAUGAGAUCGAGGGAACAACAUUGAAUUAAUGGAACAUCGUAAAUUUUACAGUAUCACUUCAAGUUGUUGUUUCCCCUUAGUCACAUAGGAACUUUCUGGUUGAUCUUAAAUUUGGGUAUUUCAUUGUUAUACUAUUAGGAGUGAUCCACUUCAUUAAUAGUUCAUAGUCCACCUCUAAAAUAAUCUUCAUGUAUCAAUGUUGAAUGUACCAGUUAACUCCAUGUAUGACUUGUUGUAUCUCAGCCUGGUUGUUGGUACCAAUGCCAAGAGGAACAACAAAUGCAUACACCAACUUUCCUUGGUGUUCUCUUAAAAUUCCUCCUCCACUGAUCUUGAGAGAACUCCCAUAUGUGUUUAGCUUGUAAACACCAUUGGAAGCUCUUUCCCAAAGAACUAGUAAAAACUUAGUUUCAUGACUACAAUUUUCCACAAUAAAGAUAAGAUCAUUCCACUUGUGUGACCACUGGAUAUAGGGGAAAACAAUGUUGAGAAUUUGAAGGAUAUUUUUGCAAAUUCGGAACUUCACUCUUCUCAUAUUGGAUUGUUUGGCAUCAUAUUAUAUUGCACAUUUGUUUUUCCACAAAAUCCAACAUAUAACGAUGGGGAGGGCCUGAUUCAUGAGCUUGUGAGCCUCUUUUCAUGCUGCAUAUAGCCCCACUUCAUAAGAUCUCUUAGAGGAAGAAGGGUAUGAAUAACUCCCAGUGAAGCUGAGUAGAAUUCCACAUGGCUAGUGAAAUUCCCAGAAAUCAGACUGUGUCUUCCAAUGUAUAAGGGACAGCACAGGUAAGUAAUAGUGAUCAUUUUGGGUGAAGCAAGUAACCUCAUUAAUAAUUUCCACAAUUUCAGCUGGAGCACUGGAUGGGAUCAUGAAGUGACUUUUAUCUCUAUUCACUAGCUGGUUAGAAACGGCUUCAUAAGUAGAGAGUGUUUUCAUGAUGAGUUGAAUAGAGUUGCCCAUUAUCUUACUCUUUGUUUGAAUGCAUUCGUUUUUUGAAAUUUAAUGAUAGUAGAUAUCUUUAAGCAAUCGUUUUCUAAGUAUUAGUUGUACAAGACGUGUUUUUCUCGAAGUUUAUUGGAAAUAUAUACUUUCGAUUUAUUUAUUAGCUAAUUUUGUGGUUUAGAUCACUUAUAUAUUUAGUUAUGUGAUUAUUGAAUAUUUGUAAAUAAAAAUUAUUAUUCUUAAUAAUGGAAAAUUGCAGCUACAAAAAUUCUACAUGACAUUUCCACACUUCAAAAAUGUUGCUUUAGGGGCGUCCAAUAAGAAAAGUUACACUUUAGAAGUGUUGUUCUAGAUGACAUAUAAAAGGCAACACUUUUUAAGUGUAACCAAUAACAAAGCAAAGACCACACUUUUAAGUGUAGUAUAAUCGAACAAUAGGUGUUGCUAAUGAGUUACUACAAAACGUGUCUUUUAUACCUCUUUGGCCAUAUUUUUUAAGUGUAGCUGCUGCGGGGACAUUAGGCCACCCCCUAAAAACCGUUGCUUAAAGUCCAAAAGUGUAGCCUUUCAUCAUAAAUUACACUUUUUGCUAGUUUCGGCUACCAAUUAUUUUAUCAAUGCGAAUUCUGAUAAGAUAAUUGUUCAAUUCUAGUAUGUUUUAGUGUUGUUUCUUUGUAUUUAUGGAGUUUUACUGUUUGUACAAGUUUGUGUAGUACUAUUUGAGAUGCAUUGAGUCAUCUUCCUUCUAUAACAUUUCUAGAGUAUGCGUGAAAUCAGUCUUUGACUUUUGACGCCUUCUCACUAAUUUCUCAAACCAGCUAUACGAACCAUUGUCUCUGGUGUCCUGUAUUGAUAGAUGAUUUGCAGGAACACCAUUCUCUGACAUUAAACCAUUGACUACACUUUCAGAUUUUCUCUGAAGACUAAUACCUCCUCAGUAUUAAAAAUACAAGUCUUAUCCUCUUGCUCUAUGUCUUGUUGUAUUUCUAUAGAGGCAUCGAAUUGAGUUUCCUCUGUACUUGUUGGACCACCAAAUAUCUCCCCAUCUUUGGCAUUGGCAUCAACAUCACCUUCUCAACCAUCACAAACACACAACUUGUGAUUUCAGCAACAACACCUUUUCGUCUUGCGAUCUGGCUCAUCCAAUUUACUUCAGUUUUCCAGUCUUGUUGUCUUCUGUUCCCCAACCAUUGUAGCAUACAAUUCCAUAUGUUCGUGGUCACACUACAUUCAAAGAAUAAAUGAGAGAAUGUUUCUAAGUGUUGGCUACCAAAGACACAAUCAGGGAGGAGAAUGAUUCCAAAUUUCUGCAAAUCUCUCAACUGUUGCUAGUCUUUUCUGUAUAGCCAACAAUAGAAUGAAUUUAUAUCUGGGAUGUAUCUUUGGAUGUAAAGCAAGAUGUACCCAGGCUACUUUGGGAUGAUCAGGCAAUAAAUUUACAUGCAUCUUCCGGAUUGAAAAUCUAUAUCCCCAAGUUGGGCUUUAACAAGUUGUUGAAUCGUCCCAUAGCCUCCUGCUUUGUUUAUUAACCGUGUAUUGUUUUUUUUCUUGAAAAAAAGUGGAUUAUGGGGUCAGAAGUGCAUUGCUACAGUAGUAGACAAGGGAAUUGUGCUCUACAAUGCUUGUCACCAGUUUGCUAUGAGCGCGUUUAUCCAAGUGAUCCUUUGGAGGAAAGGGAAAAAGAUGUAGUAAGGAGUCAAGAAUACAAGUACUGCAUGCACAAGUAAGAAGCCUAUAACUUUUAUGUUGUAUGAACUAUAAGGUUGCUAUUGUCUUUGUUAAUUUGAUGAUUUAAUCUGGGAUUUAUGAGUUAUUAGAGAAAGUAGAACUCCUUGACAUUUGGCGUAUUAAACUCAUUCCUAUUCUGUA